AUGUAAAUUCUUACAACAUAGUGUUAAUGCAUCAGAUUCUAUUAGAACUCUACAGUUAAGCAUGAUCAGGAUAGAGUAGUACUGGGAUGGGUGACCUCAUGGGAAGUACUAGUGUUUUACAUG
rfam:Picea glauca, whole genome shotgun sequence.